rnacentral:rRNA from 1 species
GACAGAGGGGGCAAGCGUUGCUCGGAAUUACUGGGCGUAAAGGGCGCGUAGGCGGAAUGGCAAGUCGGUCGUGAAAUCCUUCGGCUCAACCGAAGAACGUCGAUCGAAACUGCCGUUCUUGAGGAUUGCAGAGGAGACUGGAAUUCCCGGUGUAGCGGUGAAAUGUGUAGAGAUCGGGAGGAACACCGGUGGCGAAGGCGGGUCUCUGGGACGGUACUGACGCUGAGACGCGAAAGCGUGGGGAGCGAACAGG